rnacentral:rRNA from 1 species
GCAUAUCAAUAAGCGGAGGAAAAGAAACUAACAAGGAUUCCCCUAGUAACGGCGAGUGAAGCGGGAAGAGCUCAAAUUUGAAAUCUGGUAGCCUUCGGUUGCCCGAGUUGUAAUCUAGAGAAGUGUUUUCCGUGCCGGCCCAUGUACAAGUCCCUUGGAACAGGGCGUCAUAGAGGGUGAGAAUCCCGUCCUUGACAUGGACCCCCGGUGCUUUGUGAUACACUUUCAACGAGUCGAGUUGUUUGGGAAUGCAGCUCAAAAUGGGUGGUGAAUUCCAUCUAAAGCUAAAUAUUGGCGAGAGACCGAUAGCGAACAAGUACCGUGAGGGAAAGAUGAAAAGCACUUUGGAAAGAGAGUUAAACAGUACGUGAAAUUGUUGAAAGGGAAACGAUUGAAGUCAGUCAUGCUCUUAGGAUUCAGCCGUUCUGCGGUGUAUUUCCUUUGAGUGGGGUCAACAUCAGUUUUGAUCGAUGGAUAAAGGCACGAGGAAGGUAGCACUCUCGGGUGAACUUAUAGCCUCGCGUCAUAUACAUUGAUUGGGACUGAGGAACGCAGCAUGCCUUUAUGGCCGGGAUUCGUCCACGUACAUGCUUAGGAUGUUGACAUAAUGGCUUUAAACGACCCGUCUUGAAACACGGACC